GAGGAUAAUACUCCAUAGAAUCAUAGGAUCUGGAAUGACUUAUGGUCAAAAGUUCCGGCGCCAUAGGAUUGGUCUGCGGCCUAUCAGGUAGUAGUGGGUGUAACGGACCCACUAGCCAAUGACGGGUAUGGGCCUUGAGAGAGGGAGCCCAGAGAUGGAUUCUGAGACACGAAUCCAGGCCCUACGGGGCGCAGCAGUCGCGAAAACUUCACACUGGAGGCAACUCCGAUGAGGGAAUUCCUAGUGCUAGCACGUUAGUGUUAGCUUUUCUUAAGCGUAGAUAACUUAAGGAAUAAGGGCUGGGUAAGACGGGUGCCAGCCGCCGCGGUAAUACCCGCAGCCCAAGUGGUGGUCGAUUUUAUUGAGUCUAAAAUGUUCGUAGCCGGUUUGGUAAAUCUUUGGGUAAAUCGAGAAGCUUAACUUUUCGACUUCCGAGGAGACUGCCAAACUUGGGACCGGGAGAGGCAAGAGGUACUUCUGGGGUAGGGGUAAAAUCCUGUAAUCCUAGAAGGACCACCGGUGGCGAAGGCGUCUUGCUAGAACGGAUCCGACGGUGAGGGACGAAGCCCUGGGUCGCAAACGGGAUUAGAUACCCCGGUAGUCCAGGGUGUAAACGCUGCAGACUUGGUGUUGGAGACCCUAUGGGGGUGUUCAGUGCCGGAGAGAAGUUGUUAAGUCUGCUACUUGGGGAGUACGUCCGCAAGGAUGAAACUUAAAGGAGUUGGCGGGGGAGCACCGCNACGGGAGGAGCGUGCGGGUUUAAUUGGAUUCAACACC
rnacentral:rRNA from 1 species